rnacentral:rRNA from 1 species
UACGUAGGGCGCAAGCGUUGUCCGGAAUUAUUGGGCGUAAAGAGCUCGUAGGCGGCUUGUCACGUCGGAUGUGAAAGCCCGAGGCUUAACCUCGGGUCUGCAUUCGAUACGGGCUAGCUAGAGUGUGGUAGGGGAGAUCGGAAUUCCUGGUGUAGCGGUGAAAUGCGCAGAUAUCAGGAAGAACACCCGUGGCGAAGGCGGCUCUCUGGAACGCAACUGACGCUGAGACGCGAAAGCGUGGGGAGCAGACAGG